ACAUCAAUUUUUAAAGAAACAAUGGUCGUUGUUAAUGAAAAUUAACAGUAGUAAUUUGGAGAAUUGCUGGAAUAUCCUUAGAGAUCAGUUAACUACAACAUGGUUAGAAAUAACGAAUGUGAAUGUUAUAAAAAUAACUGAUAUUGGACAAUCAGCAGCCGAGCCUCUUAUUGAAAAUAAUAUUUAUAUAUUUUCAAUUGAGGAAGGUUCAGAGACUAUGUACCAAAUACCUAAGUCAUAAGAUAUGGUAAAGAUAUAGUCCAAACUCAAAUUAGCAAUUUGCU
rnacentral:ncRNA from 1 species